AUUGAACGCUGGCGGCAUGCCUAACACAUGCAAGUCGAACGGUAACAGGGGCUUCGGCCCGCUGACGAGUGGCGGACGGGUGAGUAACGCGUAGGAAUCUUCCCAGUAGCGGGGGAUAGCUCGGCGAAAGCCGGAUUAAUACCGCAUACGCCCCACGGGGGAAAGCAGGGGAUCGUAAGACCUUGCACUAUUGGAUGAGCCUACGUCUGAUUAGCUAGUUGGUAGGUAAAGCCUACCAAGGCGACGAUCAGUAGCUGGUCUGAGAGGACGAUCAGCCACACUGGGACUGAGACACGGCCCAGACUCCUACGGGAGGCAGCAGUGGGGAAUAUUGGACAAUGGGCGCAAGCCUGAUCCAGCAAUGCCGCGUGUGUGAAGAAGGCCUGC
rnacentral:rRNA from 1 species